ensembl:lncRNA
CGAGCAUCACUUGAGCUCCUCGUGUCUGUGCACCGGCUCAGCCAAUCAGCGCGCAGCGGCUCGGGGCCGUGUGUCUUUAAGAGUGUAAGGUGGGUGAGUCCGGCUCCUCCUGACGCGCGCGCUGGUAUGCAAACAUAAAUUUAGCAGCAACGUGUUUGCGGGGGAACAAAAUAUCUGGAAGCGGCCGUGAAGUGUCAUGUCGUCUCCGGCGGUUCUUGGCUGACUUUAACCUUUUUCUCCCCCCCUCCUCCUCCUCCUCCCCUCCUCUUCCUCCCCUCCACCCGUGUGAAGUGGAGCCGGAGAGCAGAGCCGAGCAGCGGAGAGGAGAGUGACUGGACGGACCGGGACCGACGGACCGGGAGCGCAGGGCACACAGCUGUCUGUCCACACUUUGAGAGUCUACCAGCACCGGAGAUGACAGCAGGCUGCUGGAGCUGGACCGGGCUGCUGCUCGCCGCCGUCUGUGUGGAGGUGGCUGUUCGGGCAAACGAUGGCGACGCCGUGUUCAUCAGGGAAUUCACUCUGAUUCGACGAGACCACCUUCCAGAGGAGCCUCUCCAUGAUGUCAGCCAAAACCCAGAAGACCCUAGCUCGCGGACGGCCCGAUCGGAGGAGGACAGAGACACUCUGUGGGACGCCUGGGGCUCCUGGAGUGAAUGCUCCCGGACGUGUGGAGGAGGCGCGUCGUACUCGCUCAGACGAUGCCUCAGUUCCAAGACCUGCGAGGGGCAGAAUAUCAAAUAUCGCACAUGCAGUAAUGUGGAUUGCCCUCCAGAUGCCGGGGAUUUUCGCGCCCAGCAGUGUUCAGCUCAUGCAGACGUGCGCUACCAGGGUCAGUACCACGAGUGGCUGCCUGUGUACAACGACCCGGACAACCCCUGCGCUCUCAAGUGCAAAGCCAAGGGCUCGGGCCUCGUGAUGGAGCUGGCCCCAAAGGUCCUGGAUGGGACUCGCUGUUACACCGAGUCCUUGGACAUGUGCAUCAGUGGAGUCUGCCAGAUUGUGGGUUGCGAUCAUGAGCUGGGGAGCACAGCAAAGGAGGACAACUGUGGUGUCUGCAAUGGAGAUGGUUCCUCCUGCAGACUGGUGCGGGGACACUACAAAUCCCAGCAUGCAUCAGGAAAAACCGAGGACACGGUUGUCGUCAUCCCCUACAAGAGUCGCCAUGUGCGUCUGGUCCUGAAAGGCCCGGAUCACUUGUACGUGGAGAGUAAGACCCUACAAGGGAUAAAAGGUGAGCUGGACUUGGAUAGAUCAGGGCAGCACCACCUGGAGAACACCACCUUGGACUUCCAGAAACUUUCAGAUAAGGAGGUCCUGAGAAUCACGGGUCCACUCGGAGCUGACUUCACAGUCAAAUUAGCGGGUGGAGCGGACAGUGUGGUGCAGUACAUCUACUACCAGCCCAUCAUCCACCGCUGGAGGGAGACCGACUUCUUCCCGUGCUCCGUCACAUGUGGUGGAGGGUACCAGCUCACCUCUGCAGAGUGCUUUGACCUCCGGAGCAGCCGUGUGGUCGUGGAUCAGUAUUGCCAUUAUUACCCUGAAAACAUCAAACCGAAACCGAAACUCCAGGAGUGCAACAUGGAGCCCUGUCUGGCCAGUGACGGCUACAAGCAGAUCAUGCCAUACGACCUCUACCACCCCCUGCCUCGAUGGGAGAGCAGUCCCUGGACCGCCUGCUCCACCUCCUGCGGCGGAGGCAUCCAGAGUCGCUCAGUAUCCUGUGUGGAGGAGGACAUGCAGGGUGUCAUCACCCCCACGGAGGAGUGGAAGUGUCUCUACUCCCCCAAGACCGCCAUCCUGCAGCCCUGCAACACCUUCGACUGCCCCGUCUGGCUGGCACAGGAGUGGUCGCCCUGCACUGUGACCUGUGGGCAGGGCCUGCGCUACAGGGUGGUGUUGUGCAUCGAUCACAGAGGACUCCACGCUGGAGGCUGCAACCCCACCACCAAACCCCACAUCAAGGAGGAGUGCCUGGUGACUGUGCCCUGCUAUAAGUCCAUAGAUACGCUCCCAGUCGAGGCAAAACCUGUGUGGCAUAAGCAGGCCAUCGAGCUGGACGAGGAGAUCACCGUCACCGAGGAGCCAACGUAA